GCCAACAUUCUUUGGGCAGGCACUGCUCUUGGUGAAACUCAUACAGAAGUGAAUAAGACAGAACCUCCAAUUUAGUGGGGUGAAGAUAAAGCAAGAAGCAGCCAUCAACAUUCCAGGAAAAGAUCACCAAAAUGCCACCUUGCUGGCACUCUUAUCUUAGACUUCCAGCCUCCAAAACUGGAAACUCCAGGAGACCAGAUGUUCAUAAGAGCCUUGGGUCAAAGUUCUGAUGAUGCCAUGAAUUUACUCUACCACUUGAGGAACUGUUCCAAAGUUUGAAUCUUCAGGACCCGCCCACUGCGUCCUCAACUGCUGCUUGCUCAAGUGUCAGUGUCUCCAUCACAGAACACUGUAGCUAUGCUCAGAUGUAUAGUCCUCAAGUGACAUGCCUUCUACAAUGAGUCCUCUCAUGUCUCCUAGUCCUGUUAGCCUUGAUCACCAAGAGAAACUCACAGGUGUGCCCCUUUCUAGUCAAUCCCAAAACUCCAUAAACAGCAUUUCUUUUGUUACUAUAAUAGGUUAGUUAGUAGUACUUGUUAUUAAACUUCAUGUAAAUGGACUCA